CACUCCCGCGGCGGCUACAGCGAGGCCACGCCUUUUAAAGGAGUCGACGGUUCCGCACCAGCUCUUGGCCUCUGGCCGCCCUUGGACGCCUAAGGCAUAUCAGAGAAGUUCCAGAGGAACAAACCCACUCCCGUCCUAUUGAGCCUAAGUUCCUGAAAGAUCAUCUAGUCCAACUAGACUUCACCAGGCACAUGAAUCACCCAAGAAGCUUGUUAAACUGCAAAACCUGAUUCAGAAGAGCUGGCUGCGGCUCGAGGUUCUGCAUGUCUCAUGGACUCCCAGGUGGGAAAUCCUCCAAUGUACACAAGCCUAAGGGCCCACAAAACGUGGAUCUGCUGUGGCCUGAGGAGCGGCACUGACUCACCCUCUGGAGACCACACCAGAACUCCUGUCCCUCCUGCCCUCCCGUGGGAAUUUCUAGGAAGACAAGCACGUCAUCUGCAAAUAGCCAUGUGGUCAAUUCCUUGCCAAUAUUUAUCCUUCUGUACCAGUCAGAAGUUCUGUUUGCAAACAACAGAAACCAGCUCUACUUAAACUAACAUGGGAAGGUUAUUGGGAGAGACAAACUCGGAGCAGCCAAAAUAACCAAUAAAGUCCUAUCACAGUUCUGCCUGCUUUUCAUGCUUAUAGUGCCCCCACCACCACCACCAUCAAAGUUCCAGCCUGCCAAACUGACGAUGUUUUCACUCUUUUAUUGUUACUCUAUACAACUCCAAGUCCAAGAUUUCUGGGGUUGACUUUGCCUUCAGCCAACACCUCAGUUGGCAGGGGUUCUUUAUCUGAUGGAUGUCAAUGCUCAGGGAGGCCUUGGAGACCACUUGUUGAAGACGACACAACUUCUUUCACUCUGAGUCUCUGGAUAACUGUGGACAGCAAAGUCCCCAGCUCUUCCCAUCUCCUCCAGUCAGACUCCACAUGAGCAAAAAAUAAACUAUUGUACUAAG